AACAUCCACUUCUCCUAUGUCGUUCCUACGUGCAGGACUCUCCAGAAGAAUGGACUUCUGAGUGGCCAAGCCCAGGCCUGUUCAGAUCAUGCUGUCAUUUUUGUGCCUUAUUGGCAUCCUAAUUUCUUGUAGUACUCUGAGCACCAUGGAAGAAAGAUCAUUAAGGACUGCUUUGGGUGGGGUUUCUUGCAGAUAGGAAAGUUCCUCCUUUGCCAAGAAUCUACCCCUCAUCCCAGAUGUUGCCCUGUCCCAGAUGUCUAAUGUCCUACCCUGAAAGAUUCACUCCUGAGAUAAAAGUCUAGCUCCUGUUAACUGAUCUUUUCUUUGUGGAAAGACAUUCCUCAAGCUGCCAGCAUUCUUUUGACUCCUAAUAUAAGUUAUCAGUGUCCUUUUCAGACCAGUCCAUGGGGUCGAGUAGGAAGAGCACAAGAGUCAUGCCUGGUAUAUAUGUGUAGGCUGGAAGGAGUGGACAAAGGAUCUGAAAACACUCUAAAACUUAUCUAAAUAGCUAGGAAGGAUCCCAGACCUGAGGUGUCACCACUCCAAAGCUUUUCAAAAUCCCAGGUCUGUGAAGCUGGGCGACUGAACCUUGUUCCAGGAGGACUCCUAAUACUGAGGAGACAUCUUGACAUUCCAGUGUUCUCUCCUGUAGAAGCCAUGACAGGUCCUUGCAAGUUGGAGACCUUCCUGAACUCAGCAAUGCCUGGGAAGGAAGGAAGAGAUGGAGAAGCAAGCAUGGAUAUCAUGGCUCUUUAGUCCCCAAAGCCAGAGGUGCCAGAAGUAUCACAACAUUUUACUCCAGUCUGCCUCUGAGGACCUCUGCAGCUAGCAUGCAGGAAAUUUCAACUCAGUCAUGCCUAGAGCUCUCUUCUGAGUCAUGCAAGGAUCCCUGGGCCUCAAAAGAGCUUCAAUGCAUUGCAACUGUGGAAGGUCACCUAUAUUUCUAUUUAAGCAAGAAGAACUGAGAGAUACACAAAGAUGGAGAGACUGUGAACCCAGCUGCUCACCGUAACGCAGAAGUGUCCUGCUCCUUUGUGGAUGCACAUCUGCUGUGAAAGUUGCGUGGACACACAUCAGGAAUACUGAGCCUUGGUUCUAACCAGUCGGUUUCCUCCAUGGCCUCUGAAGACACCUUGGUUAUCCUGCUUCCAUCUAUCUUUUCUUAUUCUUUGGCCCAGAGUAGCAAUAUGAAUAAACACAUAUCCCUGUGUGGGAUUUUUCAAAUCACAAA